rnacentral:antisense_RNA from 1 species
UCCAUUUGAGCUGCACCAGUGAUCAUGUUUUUCACAUAAUCAGCGUGACCUGGACAGUCAACGUGUGCAUAAUGUCUUUCGGCUGUUUCGUAUUCAACGUGUGCAGUAUUAAUUGUAAUACCACGCUCUCUUUCUUCUGGAGCACCAUCGAUGUCUCCAUAGUCUUGAGCUUGUGCUUGACCUUUUUUAGCUAAAACAUUAGUAAUAGCAGCAGUCAGGGUUGUUUUUCCAUGAUCAACGUGGCCAAUAGUACCUAUGUUGACAUGUGGUUUGUUCCUUUCGAACUUCUCGCGAGCCAUUUGAAUUAAAGAAUCGAGGGUUAAAGAGUGUUUAGUUUAGAGAUCAGGAGUUGCCCUG